rnacentral:rRNA from 1 species
GCUUGCUCUCGGGUGACGAGUGGCGGACGGGUGAGUAAUGUCUGGGAAACUGCCCGAUGGAGGGGGAUAACUACUGGAAACGGUAGCUAAUACCGCAUAACGUCUUCGGACCAAAGUGGGGGACCUUCGGGCCUCACACCAUCGGAUGUGCCCAGAUGGGAUUAGCUAGUAGGUGGGGUAACGGCUCACCUAGGCGACGAUCCCUAGCUGGUCUGAGAGGAUGACCAGCCACACUGGAACUGAGACACGGUCCAGACUCCUACGGGAGGCAGCAGUGGGGAAUAUUGCACAAUGGGCGCAAGCCUGAUGCAGCCAUGCCGCGUGUAUGAAGAAGGCCUUCGGGUUGUAAAGUACUUUCAGUGGGGAGGAAGGCGAUGAAGUUAAUAACUUCGUCGAUUGACGUUACCCGCAGAAGAAGCACCGGCUAACUCCGUGCCAGCAGCCGCGGUAAUACGGAGGGUGCAAGCGUUAAUCGGAAUUACUCAGGUGCGUAAAGCGCACGCAGGCGGUAUGUCAAAUCAGGAUGUAGAAAUCCCCGGUAGCUCAACGCCGGAAACUGCAUGUCGAAACUUGGCAGGCUAGAGCCCUGUAGAGGCGGGUAGAAUUCCAGGAGCUAACGCGUGAAAUGCGUACAGAUCUGGAGGAAUACCGGCCGCGAAGGCGAAAACCUGGACAAAUGAAUUGACGCUCAGGUGCCCGCACAAGCGGUGGAGCAUGUGGUUUAAUUCGAUGCAACGCGAAGAACCUUACCUGGCCUUGACAUCCACGGAAUUUGGCAGAGAUGCCUUAGUGCCUUCGGGAACCGUGAGACAGGUGCUGCAUGGCUGUCGUCAGCUCGUGUUGUGAAAUGUUGGGUUAAGUCCCGCAACGAGCGCAACCCUUAUCCUUUGUUGCCAGCACGUAAUGGUGGGAACUCAAAGGAGACUGCCGGUGAUAAACCGGAGGAAGGUGGGGAUGACGUCAAGUCAUCAUGGCCCUUACGGCCAGGGCUACACACGUGCUACAAUGGCGCAUACAAAGAGAAGCGACCUCGCGAGAGCAAGCGGACCUCAUAAAGUGCGUCGUAGUCCGGAUCGGAGUCUGCAACUCGACUCCGUGAAGUCGGAAUCGCUAGUAAUCGUAGAUCAGAAUGCUACGGUGAAUACGUUCCCGGGCCUUGUACACACCGCCCGUCACACCAUGGGAGUGGGUUGC